rnacentral:lncRNA from 1 species
CCCUCUAUGGGUCCCUCUGUGGGUCACUGUGUGGGUCAAUGUGUGUCCCUCUAUGGGUCAAUGUGUGUCCCUCUCUGGGUCCCUCUAUGGGUCAAUGUGUGGCCCUCUAUUGGUCCCCCUAUGGGUUCAAUGUGUGGGUCAGUGUGUGGGUCAAUAUGUGUCCCUCUAUGGGUCCCCAUAUGGGUCGAUGUGUGGGUCAAUGUGUGUCCCUCUAUGGGUCCCCCUAUGGUCCCCUAUGGGUCAAUGUGGGUCCCUCUAUGGAUCCGCCUAUGGGUCCCUCUCUGGUCCCCCUAUGGGUCCCCCUAUGGGUCAAUGUGUCCCUCUAUGGGUCCCCCUAUGGGGCAACGUAUGGGUCAGUGUGUGGGUCAAUGCGGGUCUCUCUAUGGUCCCUCUAUGGGUCCCCCUAUGGGUCAAUGUGUGUCCCUCUAUGGGUCCUCCUAUGGGUGUCCCUCUCUGGUCCCUCUAUGUGUCCCCCUAUGGGUCAGUGUGUGGGUCAGUGUGUGUCCCUCUAUGGGUCCCUCUAUGUGUCCCCCUAUGGGCAAUGUGUGUCCCUCUAUGGGUCCCCCUAUGGGUCAGUGUGUAGGUCAGUGUGUGGGUCCCUCUAUGGGUCACUGUGUGGGUCAAUGUGUGUCCCUCUAUGGGUCCCUCUAUGGGUCCCUCUAUGGGUCAGUGUGUGGGUCCCUCUAUGGGUCACUGUGUGGGUCAAUGUGUGUCCCUCUAUGGGUCAAUGUGUGUCCCUCUCUGGGUCCCCCUAUGGGUCCCUCUAUGUGUCCCCCUAUGGGGGCAAUGUGUGUCCCUCUAUGGGUCCCCCUAUGGGUCAAUGUGUGUCCCCCUACGGGCCCCCCUAUGGGUCAGUGUGUGUCCCUCUAUGGGUCCCUCUAUGGGUCCCUCUAUGGGUCAGUGUGUGGGUCAUUGUGUGGGUCAGUGUGUGUCCCUCUAUGGGUCCCUCUAUGUGUCCCCCUAUGGGGCAAUGUGUGUCCCUCUAUGGGUCCCCCUAUGGGUCAGUGUGUAGGUCAGUGUGUGGGGUCCCUCUAUGGGUCACUGUGUGGGUCAAUGUGUGUCCCUCUCUGGGUCCCCCUAUGGGUCCCUCUAUGGGUCCCCCUAUGGGUCAAUGUGUGUCCCCCUAUGGGUCCCCCUAUGGGUCCCCCUAUGGGUCAGUGUGUGGGUCAGCGUGUGGGUCAAUGUGUGGGUCAGUGUGUGGGUCAAUGUGUGUCCCUCUAUGUGUCCCCCUAUGGGUCAGUGUGUGGGUCAACGUGUGGGUCAGUGUGUGGGUCAAUGUGUGGGUCACUGCGCGGGGGCCGUCACUCACUGACCCCGGCCCCACGGUGACGCAGGCUUUGGGCCCCA